CUUUGCGAAGUGAAGAAACAAAAGCUGAAAAGGAAUCUUCGAGAUAGUUUUCCGAUUUUCGAUUGAGUAUAUAUAUUCCGUAACGGUAAUAAGCUUCGGCAAUUUUGAAACGCUCAACGUCCAUACUGAGAAGAACAUCUAAGCACUUUUCAACAGUUGAUAUUGCUUUAGGCAGAUUGCCAGUUUUAAAAUAGCACCAUGACAAUUCAGAAAGAGAUGGAUCAUUUUCGUGGUCGUCUAAGAGUAGACCAAGGGUUUUAACGGCAUCAGAAUACUGUUCAUUUUCAAUUUGGACAAGCCCUUUUCCAAGCAGAGCAUGGUAAUUCCGUGGAUCAGCUGCUAAAAGUAUAUCGUAAUAAUGCAUAGCUUGAAAUAAAUAACGUGGAACUUCAUAGUGUGAGUAACCAAUAGCCAAACAAAGCUGGAAGAUACGUGUCAGUUUAUCUAGUUUAACACCAGUAUCUUGCUGAAGCCUUUUUAAAACUUCAAGAGCCGCCUUGGAAAGCCCAAUUGCAUAUUCAUAUUCCUUUAAAUGAAUAUAGUACUUUGCAAGACACUCUGAAAUUAUUGUAGAUUGUGGAGCAUUCUCGUAGGCCUCAGUUAAAUUUGCAAGGACUUCAUCUUGAGGCAUCAUGGUAGAAGAAAUAAUGUCUUCCUCAUUUUCUUUUUUGUCGACCGAAUUCUCUGAAUCGUCUUCCUCUUUUGUUUCUUUUGCUAGUUCAGCGCUAUUGUUGCUGUCUUCUAGCUGAAUGGGAUGCUCUUUGUGCCACAAGUCGGAAUUACGAAAUGCGAAAAGAGCCUGGGCUAAGGGAGAUCCUGGAAACAACUCUAUAUACUCCUGGAGUUCUGCAGAUUGAAAAAAUGAGAUGUCAGAGUGAUCCUGCCAUUCAAAAUAUAUCGUCCAUGCUGCUUGCUCAGGUAUGUGCAAAGUAACCAUUCCUUGAAUCAAAUCCCAAAUUCGUUCGCGCCAAUGACUUUUUUCUUUUAUUUCUGAAAGUAUUAAAAGCUUGUUAUACAUGUGCAAGAGCUUUGAUUCAGUAAGCCGACGUAUUUCAUCCGUUUCCGCAUAGUUAAUAAUCUGAUUAUAAAGUGUCUCUAAAGGGGAAUCUUUAUAAAUUUCCAGCUCCACAUCUCGCAUAACUUGUUCAAGACGCGCACCCAGACGUGUUUUACGCUUAUUGACUUCUGAUUCGAAGUAGCAACGAUCCAUGCUUUCUUGAAUAUCAACCAUUUGCAUGUAAACAGUUUGAAGAGGAAGAACUCUUCCCUCUAGAUAUUCAUAAAUUUCACCUUCUUCCGGAGUAAGCAGUUUUAAAGCUUUAAACUCAUCGGCCUUAUUUCCAUACUUUUUUACUACUUCCAUGUAUUUGUUGACGGUGUUGAGACAUUUGUUUUGCUCUUCCAGUUCCAAAAACUUAGAAGCCAAGAUGGGUGUGAUUUUAUGUAACUCCGAAAUGUCAUGUGUGCUUUCAUAGAGAUUCCAUAACCCUUGCCAAGCCAAAACUGCUUUCUCGUCAAUUUUUAUUGCAUCCAAAUAAGCCUCUUUUGAUUCAGAAAGCUGUUUUGUUGAGAAAUAUGCAACCCCCAAAAAUACAUUGGCAUUAUAGUUGUUGGCGUCAAACGAGAGAGCCUUCUUUGAUUGUUCUAUCGCUAAUUCAUAAUUUUUUACAACUAGAGCUUCUUUAGCUGCUUUGAGGGCUGGUUUUGCCAUGACAAUGGCAGUUUAUUAUGUUGGAUAUACCUAAAUAGUGUGCGUUUAAGUAGUAUGAGACUGCAAUAUAAUAUUUUCAUUCUCGUUAUAAGCAAAC